rnacentral:rRNA from 1 species
UUGAACGCUGGCGGCAUGCCUUACACCUGCAAGUCGAACGGCAGCGCGGACUUCGGUCUGGCGGCGAGUGGCGAACGGGUGAGUAAUACAUCGGAACGUACCCUGUUGUGGGGGAUAACUAGUCGAAAGAUUAGCUAAUACCGCAUACGACCUGAGGGUGAAAGUGGGGGACCGCAAGGCCUCGCGCAGCAGGAGCGGCCGAUGUCUGAUUAGCUAGUUGGUGGGGUAAAGGCCCACCAAGGCGACGAUCAGUAGCUGGUCUGAGAGGACGAUCAGCCACACUGGGACUAAGACACGGCCCAGACUCCUACGGGAGGCAGCAGUGGGGAAUUUUGGACAAAGGGGGCAACCCUGAUCCAGCAAUGCCGCGUGUGUGAAGAAGGCCUUCGGGUUGUAAAGCACUUUUGUCCGGAAAGAAAUCGCGCUGGUUAAUACCUGGCGUGGAUGACGGUACCGGAAGAAUAAGCACCGGCUAACUACGUG